AUUGAACGCUGGCGGCAGGCUUAACACAUGCAAGUCGAGCGAGCGGCGGACGGGUGAGUCAUGUCUGGGAAACUGCCUGAUGGAGGGGGAUAACUACUGGAAAAGGUAGCUACUAACGCAUACCAUCAGAUGUUCCCAGAUGGUAGUAGCUAGGAGGUGGGGUAAUGGCGUAACUAGGCGACGAUCCCUAGCUGGUCUGAGAGGAGGACCGGCCACACUGUAACUGUGACACGGUCCAGAAUCCUACGUGAGGCAGCAGUGGGGAAUAUUGCACAAUGGGCGAAAGCCUGAUGCAGCCAUGCCGCGUGUGUGAAGAAGGCCUUCGGGUUGUAAAGCACUUUCAGCGAGGAGGCGUUACUCGCAGAAGAAGCACCGGCUAACUCCGUGCCAGCAGCCGCGGUAAUAC
rnacentral:rRNA from 1 species